rnacentral:rRNA from 1 species
GCCGGUUUCCCUAGAUGAUCUUCACCGGUUGUCCUGGGUGACCGGCACGUUUACUUUGAAAAAAUUAGAGUGCUCAAAGCAGGCGUGUAGCCUGAAUAAUGGUGCAUGGAAUAAUGGAAUAGGACUUCGUUUCUAUUUUGUUGGUUUUCGGAACACGAGGUAAUGAUUAAGAGGGACAGACGGGGGCAUUCGUAUUGCGACGCUAGAGGUGAAAUUCUUGGACCGUCGCAAGACGAACUACUGCGAAAGCAUUUGCCAAGAAUGUUUUCAUUGAUCAAGAACGAAAGUUAGAGGUUCGAAGGCGAUCAGAUACCGCCCUAGUUCUAACCAUAAACGAUGCCAACCAGCGAUCCGCCUGAGUUCCUCAAAUGACUCGGCGGGCAGCUUCCGGGAAACCAAAGUGUUUGGGUUCCGGGGGAAGUAUGGUUGCAAAGCUGAAACUUAAAGGAAUUGACGGAAGGGCACCACCAGGAGUGGAGCCUGCGGCUUAAUUUGACUCAACACGGGAAAACUUACCCGGCCCGGACACUGGAAGGAUUGACAGAUUAAGAGCUCUUUCUUGAUUCAGUGGGUGGUGGUGCAUGGCCGUUCUUAGUUGGUGGAGCGAUUUGUCUGGUUAAUUCCGAUAACGAACGAGACUCUAGCCUACUAAAUAGGCGUCCCGAUCACUUCUGUCGGGCGUUCUUCUUAGAGGGACAAGUGGCGUUUAGCCGCACGAGACAGAGCAAUAACAGGUCUGUGAUGCCCUUAGAUGUCCGGGGCCGCACGCGCGCUACACUGAAGGAAUCAGCGUGUGCUUUCCCUGUCCGGUAGGACUGGGUAACCCGUUCAACCUCCUUCGUGAUAGGGAUAGGGGCUUGUAAUUGUUCCCCUUGAACGAGGAAUUCCCAGUAAGCACGAGUCAUAAGCUCGUGUUGAUUACGUCCCUGCCCUUUGUACACACCGCCCGUCGCUACUACCGAUUGAAUGAUUUAGUGAGGUCUUCGGACUGGCGCUCGGAGCGGCCGCAAGGUCGCGCCGG